rnacentral:snRNA from 1 species
GUACUCACUUCAGCAGCACAAAUACUAAAAUUGAAAUGAGAUAGAGAAGAUUAGUAUGGCCCCUGCACGAGGGUGAUGUGCAAAUUUGUGAAGGAUUCCAUAUAAAA